rnacentral:rRNA from 1 species
UCGGGAAUUUUGGGCAAUGGGCGCAAGCCUGACCCAGCAACGCCGCGUGAAGGAUGAAGGUCUUCGGAUUGUAAACUCCUGUUGCUCGGGACGAAAAGCUUCGACCGAAUACGUCGAAGUCUGACGGUACCGAGUGAGGAAGCCCCGGCUAACUCUGUGCCAGCAGCCGCGGUAAUACAGAGGGGGCAAGCGUUGUUCGGAAUUACUGGGCGUAAAGGGCGCGUAGGCGGCCUGCUAAGUCGAACGUGAAAUCCCUGGGCUCAACCCAGGAACUGCGUCCGAUACUGGUUGGCUUGAAUCCGGGAGAGGGAUGUGGAAUUCCAGGUGUAGCGGUGAAAUGCGUAGAUAUCUGGAGGAACACCGGUGGCGAAGGCGACAUCCUGGACCGGUAUUGACGCUGAGGCGCGAAAGCCAGGGGAGCAAACGG